rnacentral:rRNA from 1 species
AUUGAAUUUAAUUCAGGAUUAAAUGUUAUAUUGUAUAAUUUACUUUAUAUUUUAUAUUUUAAUCUAAAAUUAAUAGGGAUAAGCUUAUUAAUUAAUUUAUAAUCUUAAUAUUUUGUUUAAAUUUUGUAGGAUUAAAAAUUUCCAUCAUUUAUUUUGUUAUAAUUAAUUUUAAUUAAUAUUUUAUUUUAAUUAGGUUUAAAUUUUUAUUAAAAAUAAUUAUUUAAUAAAAUAAAUAAUUGUUAUAAUGAUAAAAUUAGUAAGUAUAUAUAAUUAAUAUAUAGUAAUUCGGCAAAAUUAUCCUUCACCUGUUUAACAAAAACAUGUUCUAAUGUUUAAGUUUUAUUAGAUUUGACCUGCUCAAUGAUAUUAAUUAAAUAGCCGCAGUAUUUUGACUGUGCGAAGGUAGCAUAAUCAAUUGUCUUUUAAUUGAAGGCUUGUAUGAAAGGUCGGAUGAGUGGAUAACUUUCUUUAUAUUAAAAUAUUGAAUUUAAUUUUUAAGUUAAAAAGCUUAAAUUUUUAAAAGGGACGAGAAGACCCUAUAGAAUUUUAUAUUAUUUAUAAAUUAAUUAUUUUGGUUAGUUUUUAAAUAAUUUUAUAAAUAAUAUUUUGUUGGGGUGACAGUGAGAUUUAUUAAACUCUUAUAAUUUAUAUUAUUGUUGAUUGACAUAUUUAUGAUCCUGAUUAAUUUGGAUAAUUAGAU